rnacentral:rRNA from 1 species
CUGGUGCCAGCAGCCGCGGUAAUUCCAGCUCCAAUAGCGUAUAUUAAAGUUGUUGCAGUUAAAAGCUCGUAGUUGAAUUUCGGGGUUAGUAGAUUGGUCGUGCCAUCGGUAUGCACUGGUCUUACUGAUUCCUCCUUCCUGAUGAACCGUAAUGCCAUUAAUUUGGUGUUGCGGGGAGACUGGACUGUUACUUUGAAAAAAUUAGAGUGUUUAAAGCAAGCUAACGCUUGAAUACAUUAGCAUGGAAUAAUGAAAUAGGACGUUCGAUCCUAUUUUGUUGGUUUCUAGGGAUUGACGUAAUGAUUAAUAGGGAUAGUUGGGGGCAUUAGUAUUCAAUUGUCAGAGGUGAAAUUCUUGGAUUUAUUGAAGACUAACUACUGCGAAAGCAUUUGCCAAGGAUGUUUUCAUUAAUCAAGAACGAAAGUUAGGGGAUCGAAGACGGUCAGAUACCGUCGUAGUCUUAACCAUAAACUAUGCCGACUAGGGAUCGGAUGAUGUUAAUUUUUAUAAUGACUCAUUCGGCGCCUUACG